UGGGGUAAGUUGUGAACUUAUACUUACUGUCUGUGAACAUCAUAAAAUAUACUACCUGAAAAAAUAUGAAACUUACCAGACAAGUUGUUUUGAUCCUUUUAAGUGCCAUAAGAAAAAAAUUACAAUAUCAUUAAGGACUGUGACAUCUGACUUUUCAGAAAAAAUCAAUGAAAUUCCAAUGCUUGUGAAAUCAGUGUCUGGGCAAAAAAUAUGUGAUGCAUGUAGAGACAGAGUACAGAAACAUCCAUAUUUUAAAGAUGAAUAUGACCUAGAGGUGGAUUCAGAUAGUAACAGUAAUCACAGUAUUAUAAAUUUACAAACAUCAAUUUCAAAAGAGGAGACAUUAGAAACAAUUAAUACAUCAUUGGCAGAAUUAGGAGAGUCUCCAUUGAAACUUCAUUCCAUUUCAUCACACAGAAAACCUGCAUACGCAAAAAGAAAGGUUGAGUCAGCAUAUUCCACUUUAAAAAGUAAAGUUAGCAGAGUUAUGGGAACAGAAUUGUCUCCAUCUGUUAAGGACAUCAAAAACUGCCAAAAGAUAUAGAACAAAAAGUGAAUGAUAUGGAUGUGCUUGUAGGUUUACUUAAAGCAAAACUAGGAACUCCUAUCACGCGGCGAGAAAAGAUACAACAUUUAACACUUGCUCCUGCUUCAUGGAGCAAGAAAAAAGUCAUGGAACAGUUCCAUGUGCGUGAGUAUGCUGUUGGUCAAGCAAGAAACCUUCUACAAGAUAAAGGACUUAUGGUUUUACCCGAGCCAAGAAAAGGAAAAACACUAGAUAAACACACACUUGAAACGGUGACAAACUUUUACCAAAGUGACGAAUAUUCGCAAAUCAUGCCAGGCAAAAAGGACACUAUUAGUAUGUCAAAAAAUGUACAUGCACAAAAGCGAUGAAUACUUAUAAAUUUAAGCAAACUGUAUUCUGCUUUCAAAUUUGAAUAUCCCAACAUUAAAGUUGGUAUUUCGAAAUUCUGCAUGUUGCACCGAAAAUGGUGUGUUUUAGCAGGGUCUUAUGGCACACAUUCUGUUUGUGUUUGCACAAUCCAUCAAAAUGUAAUUAUUCUGCUUCAUGCUUGUCAUAUAGAAGAGACAUACCAGGAUUUGAUUGGUUAUUUAGUGUGUUCUAAAGAUAACAGAGACUGCAUGCUAAGACACUGCUCUCAAUGCCCAUCAAAUGAAAACUUGAAUAGUUUUCUACUUGAAAAAUUUGAGGAGUGGGACCCUGAAGAUGGGUGUCGACAGACAGGACACAACAGGUGAAAUUCACAGUGACAUUUGAUGAAUAUGUAACAACUUUAAUUGAGAAACUACAGAUACUUGAGCCCUAUGCAUUUAUAACUGAAGCCCAGAACUUGAACUGGAUACAGCUGUAAUUCUCAUAGACUUAAGUGAAAACUACACGUGUAUCAUUCAAGAUGCAGCACAAGGGUAUCACUGGACAAAUGCUAGUUGUUCACUACACCCAGUUGUACUUUACACACGUGUCCAACAAUCAGAAGACCUACUCGUCUCAAGUAUCUGCAUCUUGUCUGAUGAUUUGGAGCAUGAUGUAGCAUUUGUGUUUGAAACGCAAAAAAUAAUCACUCAGUAUAUAAAGAAAAUGUUUCCAAUAGUAAAAAAAAUGUACUUUACUUUAGUGAUGGAUGUGCUGCACAAUACAAAAUAUGCAAAAACUUUCUCAAAUCUCUGCUACCACAGCCACGACUUUGCAUUAACUGCUUCAUGGGCAUUUUUUGCUACUAGUCAUGGCAAAUCACCUUGUGACGGCAUUGGUGGUACAGUUAAGUGGCUGGUUACCAAAGCUAGUCUUCAAGCAUCUCCUAGUGAUGUAAUAUACUCCGCUGAAAAAGUGUUCAACUUCUGCAAGGAACGAAUUCUGGAUGGUUAAAAAAGAGACACUGUUAGAAACACGUCAGCAACUGAAUGCAAGGUUCUCUACAGCAAAAACAAUUCCAGACAGGGUCCAAGAGCCUGGAUGCCGGCUUAGCAUUUCCACACUCUUCCUCUUCAACAAACAGGCGCCGUGGCACCAGGUUGACUACUGAGCUCCGGGAAGCGAACCACCGACCUCCGGUGCUACAGUAUCUAUGAACCUUUUUUGGAACGUUCUUUAAAUUACUACGUUCAAAGAAAUUAAAACAUCCGUUCUGGACUUUAAGAAUAUAAACUGGGAUGGUUUAAUAAUACAUAUUUGUAUUUUUUUUUGGUUUAUGUAUUUUUAAUGAAACCUUUUAUAAUCUUAUUUAAGGCCUGGCCCAUAUUUUUUUAAUAUAUCUGAGAGCUCUUUAAUUAUGUAAUUGAAAUAUGUAUUUUAACACAUUUUAGUAUCUUAUAAGUUUCCUUAAAUAAAUAUGGAGUAAGUAAUUAUAUUCAGACGGAAUCACACCUUGUUUCUGUUCAUUCCUCAUAUCCUUGUGAAACUUAAAGAUCCACCGUUACAGCAGAGUAUAAUGUUAAUACAAUUAUUUAUAUACUUAAUCUGAUUUACCUAUACUGCCUCAAUGUAACAAAAAUGGUAAUUAAUGAACAAUGCUGUAACAACAGAUAUAUCAACAAACUCAUACAUUGCACGUAUUUAUGACUCCUACUGGUUUUUCGGCUUAGUUCUUUCAAAACAUGAAGAGGAAGGUGACGUAAAAGUGAAAUUCAUGCACCCUUAUGGCCCUGCACCAUCGUUUCACUGGCCUCCACAGAAUGACAUGUCACAUUCCUCUUUGCAACAUCAUUUGUUCUGUUAGUACUCCCUUCACCAAGGGUUCUGGAAGAGUGUACUACUUCUCUGAAAAGGAAGUUGAUUUCAUACAACAUCAAUACAAGAAGUCUCGACAGUUAAAAUGAAAAGCACUUUUAAGCAUUAUUCCAUAAGUUUAAUAACUUUAUUUUAUAAGUUUUUUUUUCUUAAUUGGCAACUAACAGUCUAUAUUUGCAAUUUUCUGGUCUCAUUGAAAAGGGCCAAUUUGCAUUUGUAGUUUAUUAUCAUAAAACUUUUCUUGCCAUAACUUUAUUAAUUUCACAACAGUUUGUAAAUUUAGUAGUCAUUUACUAUAAGAAUUUUAAAGUUUCUGUAAUGUAUUGAAAGUGUGAAGUUACUUCUCUUGUAUUGUGAUGCAAUGUGUUUUUGUAUGUGUUAAAUUAUAAGAUGUAAUUUAUAGUUGAAAUAGCUAUAUAAGCCAUCAAAUUACCAUAAUUUUUCUUUCACAAUCUUGUAGAUCAUUCUUUUAUUCCAUUUUAUUUAAAAAAUAUUGACUUGGUAUCUUCCGUGCCAGCUAUAUAUAAUAUACCAACUCAAUAAAACCAAGCAAUUGUACUUAAAAUUUUGUUUCUUAAUCGAACAUUACAUUUUAAAUUGUGUCAAGAGUUACGCAGGAUUAAUGAAACAUUUUUUCUGAAAUCUACAUACUUUGAUUCUUCUGUGGAAAAAUUUUUAUAAUGAUAUGUAAGUUAGACAUAGAGCUACAAAUGUUUUUCUUUAACACAGUUUUGAAAAGUGGUGUCUUGAAACUGUCGCUUACAUAGGUACAAUUUUCCAAAACUUUGGAAAUUUUUAUCUCGGAAACUAUGUAUCCUACAUCGAAAAAAAAUUAGGUUGUUCAGUAAAUUGAUGGGUGGUCCAGUUAAAAAAAGUUUCAAGAAAAUCUGAGUUGGUGGGUGUCAUUCCACAAUAGAGUUGGGUGAUCUGAUAUGGAAUGGCCCCAUUUUUAGAUUUCCAAUUUAAUUUAAACUAACUGUAUACAAAACAAGGGAACAAUGUAUAUAAGUAUAUAAGUUUGAGACUAUACUGCUGAAAACAUAAUUACCAUACAAAUUUGGCGAUUUUAACAGUGGUAGGCCAUAGGCUGAGAUACGAUCACCACAAUCACUGCAGGAAGCCCGGUAUUUAUUCUUGGCAAGGGUCGUGUGUUCCUUCAAGGUCAGGGUUCGCUGACGUCACCUCUAGGCUGUGACACGUCACCCGAGGCUAGCCCGUGUAGUUGACAACACUGGUAGCUAAUCCCUUCCCGUCACUUAGCCCGGCUCGGUACGGCCCGGGUGCGACAGAGAGGGCAACUACAGAUUGUAACUGCGAUAAAACACUCUUCCAGCCACCAGCGUCUGUGGAGCAGCCUCCGUUACCUAGCGGUAUUCGGGCGACUGCAUUAGCCUUCCAGCGCCCUUAAGCGUAGGAUUAAUGUUGUGGAAAAUGGAAUACUAUUCCAGCAGUAAGUGAAGCAGUUAAUAAAACAUUAACUAUGCAUGUAGAAGAAUGUAAGGGAUAUACACUACACUUAAUUAAGGAAAAUAUGACAGUGUUUGAUGGCUAUUUUGAAGGUAAAUUGCAGGAAAUUAGCAAAAAUCAACAAAAAUGCAGAAAAACUCAUAAAGUAGAAUAAAGAUUGUAGAUAGUAAGGUGAAUGCUUUAGAGAAAGAAGUAAAAGUACGUUCAGUACAAGCUCGCAUUGAUUUUACAAGGCGUGGAAGUGAAAGACUCAAAAAUGUUACCAAUGUAUCAUCAACAGGAAACAUUUCGACUAACCUUCCACAUGCUGUUACAGGGCCAUUCCAUGCACACGGGUGUGACAUUUGAAUGAUAUUUUUCAAGCAAAAACAAUUUUUGAAUGUAUUAUAUAUAACUAAAUGUGUUCCAGGCAUAACGGGCUAAUUUACUGCAUUUUCAUUUGUUAAAAAAAAUUUAUACAAUUUUUUUUAGAAGGAUCUGUAUUUAUGUUAUGGGUGUGACAUAUUUUGGACACCACAGUACAAAAUUACAUGUUUAUGUUGAAUUCUCUGUGAAAUCUGAAAGGACUUUUGCCAAAUCUAACCAUAUGUGGCCAAUAAAAGGAAUGUAGAUAAUUAUUCCUGUGCCAAUUUGUAUGAAAAUGUUCCUUUCUUUUUACAAUAAAUUAUAUUGUGUCGUUACGGGUGUGACAUCUUAUAUUACGGGUGUGAGACUGUACAUCAACAUGACUGUCACUUUUGUAGACAGAUUUGAUUUAAACUAAAUCACUUAUGUCAUACCAACUUCUUAUAUUAAACAUUGUACAUAAUACUAUGUAACAAAUUUACAACAAUUUUUAAUGCAAAACACUUCUAGCCUAUUUUAGUAUGGUGUAAAAUGUGUACAAGAAAAAGUCAACUCUAACUUUAUACAGGAUUUUAAGAAACUACAUUAUCUCACACUAGUAUAGGCUAAGUCUUAAACAAUUUUUUUAAAUUUCACUCCAGAUUUGCAUCUUACAAACAUGUUACGGUUCAAUGACGUCAAUAUCCUUUUGAAAUUAAUAGUACACUCUGUUACCAACUACCUUCAUUACUGUUUCUGGAAGAUACUUCAAAAUUUGUUUGAUAAAAUCAAAACACUUGUCUUUUUCAUUAAUUUUGAAUAUUCUUUUUUUGUCUUUAUCCUGAUGUUUUAAAAGCAGUACCUCAACUUCCUCACCAUCAGGCUCACUUUGGCACAUCCCUACAAAUUUUUAUGUUCUCUUCUUUCCCUCAUAUUCUACUAAAACACAUUGUCCUGGUUUGAGAUGAUUUGUUGAAACUGAAAGGAUGGGUUCAUCGUCACUGAAAUCACUUGAUUCUGUUUCUGCAUAAAUGUCAUUGUAUGAUACUUUUUCCUUCGUCAUGCUGCAUUUCUCUAACAUGGAGAAAGAAGUGCGGCCCACUAAGAGACAGAACUUGUUGUUCGAUGGUUUAAAACAAUGUUUUGACUGAAGUCCAGGUACAGCCUGUGCAUUGUUUCACCGGUUCAUUAGCAUCCCUUUGAAUUUGUGAAUUUUUUCCAUGUUUAAAAAAAUGCAUUUUAUUCCUGAAAUGAUUUCCGAAGCACAAUCGAAAAACUCUUUCGCAUUAAUAACCAUCCUACAGCGGGACUCAUUCCACACUUUGUUUGACUAUUCCUCCUACACCAUCCACUGCCCCUUUGCCAUGAGAAGUGGCCAAAAAAUGCCACUCCCUAAUGAGCCCAAAAUCAUCUAAGAAGAAACAUAAAUUAAAUAAAUUGUAUCUGUUUUUGAAUUGGCUGGCACAACCAUCUGAGAAUACUUUUAUAGUUUUUAGAUCCUUGAAUUCUUAUGUGACAUAAUUUAUCACUUUCUUUAGAAAAACAUACACAGAAAUCUUAUCGUGUGAUAAUUCAUCACUAAUUACAGCAAAUGAUCGCACUUUUCCAUCACUUAGCCAAGCACAACGUGUAAAAAUGGUGAUUUGAUGGUGGCUCCAAUGAGCGCUCUGAAUUUCAUCUUGAUAGGCUGCACCAUAGUUCUCUGCAAAAUCUACUUUUAUGAUCACUGUAUCUUCAGAAAUAUUAUUCUUUUGUACCUCAAAGUAUUUGGACUGACUCUUAUUUACAAAACAAUGGUACUUGAAAGCAGUAACCUGCUUCUGAAUAAGAUUCAGUAUAUCCUCAACUGUACCUUCACUUUCAAUUAUUUUAGGAUAGCCAUCAACAUCACAUCACUGUUUUAACAUGACAGUUUUAGCUACAUCUGUUUCUGGUUGUAAAAUAUCUUCAACAUUAUCUUUACAAGCAUGGCAAUAUCCUGUCAUACAUGUCUCCCUCUCAAUGUCACAACAGAUUGCUUCAAGAAAAUCAUGAAUAUUUUGGGGGAAACAAUUUAAGCACUUGAGUGAUCCUAAAAUGAAAUUUAAGUUAGCAUGGUAGCGACAGAUGCAGACAUUAUGAGGUUGUUUUGAUGAGGGAAGCACUUGCAGAGGUCUUAAUUCAUAAAACUUUGACAUAGCAAGGUUAGCAUCUGGAUAUUCUUUCAUGAAAAUUCUAUAUGCUUCCUUGAUUGUGAUUAUCAUAUAUCGCUUCUGAACAGAUACACGUUUCCCAGUGGUUGGAUUUUUUACGGUCAUGGCAUCUUUCUUACCUGGUGACUGCCAACUUACAUCAUCUCUCAAAUAAAAUGAAGUAACAUUCUCUUUUGUUUCCUCAUAAAUAGCAUUAUUUGCAGUUCGUUUUUUCACUGAUGCUGCUGAAAUUGUAACAGAAGACCAUUGCAGUAUUUUGUUUAAUACUGCGUUUCGUUUUGUUGGGCUGUUUGGAAGUGACUUCUUUACCCUCUGAACUGCUUUGCCUAACGUUUGUGGACAUCUAUACGAACCUAUAGGUGAUAAAUGUGUUAGGUCUUCCACUUCUUUUUUCUCUUCCAAGUCCUUCCUGUGCUUCCUCUGACGUUCAGAGUCCUUCAAACGUUUUAAUUUCAAUUGUCUUUUGUUAUUAGGCCUAUACAAGAUAUCCAUAUUUUUCUUUUGUCUUGUCUUAUCUCGCUCUUGUUCUUUACUUGGGUGCUCCUUCCAUUUAUCUGGAUCAGCUUUCAAUCUCACUUACGAACACGUUCUUUGCUGUCCUGUACCUUCAUCUGUAAAAAGUAAUAAUAAAUAUACAUGCAAACUUAAAAUUCACAGCUACUAUACAUGGCUAAUAAAACAAAACUAAUUGUUACCUGUAGUCCUGACACAUUACAAAAUGAUUUACUCUUAAAAGCAUGCUUUAAUACCUUAAAAGAAAAGAAAAUUUUAUAUUUGUGUUAUGGGUGUGACACUUUUUAAUAUUAAUCUUUACUUAGUUAAUCAAAAUAUAGCCAGUUAAAGGAUGGUCACAUUAAACAUUGUCAAAUAUAACCUUUCAUUCACAUGAUGAAAACAUGUUCAGUUCUUUAUAUAACCAAGCAUGUCAACUUUUAUCAAUUUUUUAUUACGGGUGUGACAGAUAUGUAUACAGUUUCUAAAUAACCAAAUUCAUGACAGAUUAACUUACCUACAGAAUGGAUAUGUUGAUGUUUCUUUACUGCAAGGUUAGCACUGUAAACACUACCUAAUGAAUGUUACAAACAACCUUUUUGGAGGGAAGAUUUAAGCAUGUCAACUUAACAUAUCUCUACAAAAAUUUUCUCACUGUGUACAUGGUUUCCUUUAACAUUUAAAUAUAAUAACCUAAAAACAAACAAUUGUUACUACUGUACCAAAAAUGUUAAAUACAAUACUUAAGUAUCCUAAACAAACCACAAAAAGUGCUAUACAAUAAUUUUUAAUUUUUUGAAGAUUUGUCCAGUUUCGCAUGGAAUUGCCCUACAGUGAGUUCGAGUUUAUGUGACUUUUGAUUUCUUUAAGCCACCCAGUGAAAACAUGGUUAGAGGAAGUACCAACAUUUACAGGGAAAAGUCACGAAAACCUGGUAAAAUUUGUAGAACAGUUUGAGGAAUAUUGUAAAUGGUUCAAUUUAAAUGAUGCUGAAAAAUUGAAAGUUUUGGUUAGGUGUUUAAAGAAUACUGCAUAUUUCUGGUUGGGAUUAUUGCAGAAAAGUGUAACUGAGUAUGAGACAUUCAGAAAACUUUUUAUUUAACAGUUUUGGAAUUCUCAAAUCAAAAAUAAUAUAAGAGUACAUUUACAUGCAGACAAAUUCAAUCCAAAAAGAAACAAAAACAUGUCACAUAUUAGUGAUUUGUAUGAAAGGUCUAGGUACAUGUAUUACAAUAUGGACGUAAAGGCGUUCGUAUAGUUAAUUCUGACACAAUUGCGUACGAAAUAUCAGUUACAGUUAGCUGGACUGCAACAUUUUUUAUUUAUUUAUUUAAUAAUUGUCCAUGCCUAAACAGCAAAUGAUUAGGCACAACAUUGAUACAAUAAAGAACACAUAAAGACAAAACAAAACCAUAUAAACAAGAUAAUAUAAAACAAAAACAAAAAUGGACAGAUACAAAAACACCAAAUAACAGUACUCAAAAUGAGCCAAAAUUAAAAAAAUACAAACCUAAUAAGACAAAGUAAACUAGAUAAAAAAUAAAAAGAAGCUAGAAUAUAAAAUAAAUGUGAUCUAUUAUUUUUUUGAUGGAUAAAUUUUUAUUUAUCAAAGGAAUUAAGCUGUUAUAAUUAUUAAAACUCUUGGCUAUCCUAUAACCUAUAUUAUUUGAUUUAUUAACAUAACAGUGGUUGAUCUCGACAGCUAACAGUAGGUAUUUUAAUACUUGUAUUUUCAAGGAGACUAUUACAGGUUAGAUUAUUUUCAUAAGAUUUCUUUAAAAAUAAAGCAUCUGAAAUAGCUCUUCUAGAUGACAUGGUGUCUUUAUUUAUUUAUUUUGAAUAUUUUCAGCUUUGUCACUAUCAAUUUUGCCAAUUGUAUUCCAUAUAAUUGAUCCAUAAUGAUAUAUAAAGACCGAGACAGGAAUCAACAUUAGAAGCAUUGAAUGUAAUAAAUUUAAUGAGAGCAAGAGCAGAUGCACAUUAGAUAACAAAGAUUGAUUAUGAUAAUGAAAUAGAAAUUUAGAGUCUAGCAAAAUCCAAGAUCUCUCUAAUAACAUUAGCUUUCUUUAUAGUGAUUUAACAGUUUGUAAUUGAAAAUAGUAUGAUGAUAUUUUCUAGUGUAAGUAAUGGUAGUUGUCUUAUUGUAGUUGAGUUCAACUUAAUUAGUAUUACACCAUCUGAUAAUUGAAUUGGUGUCUUUCUGCAGUAAGUGACAGUCACUAAUAGAGGUAAUAGAUUUAGAAAUGUUGAGGUCAUCUGCAAAAAGAACACCUGAAGAAUGGCUGAGCUCAUUAGUGAUAUCAUUAAUAAAAAUAUUAAAAAAUGGGGAGGGAAGAGUUCCACCUUGAGGAACACCUGAGCAAGCAAGAAAUAAAUUUGAUUUAAAAUUGUUAUUCUAAACACAAAAAUUACUAUCCUUUAAGUAACUAGAAAACCAGAUAAUAUAUUUAUCAGUUAACCCAAAGUUGGAUAGUUUACAAAAUAAUAUGUUGUGGUUAACAGUAUCAAAACUGACAAAGGAACAUCAGAAGCAACUGCAAUCAAGAAAGGUGUUCAUCAAGGUAUACUAUCACCACUCUUCUUCAACAUUUAUUCUGAAGUCAUUUUCAGGGAAGUGUUGAUGGAAAAACAACGGAAUCAUUAUAAAUGGAAAGGUUAUUAACAAAAUCUGGCACACAAAUGACACUGCUGUAAUAGCAAAUGAACGUAUGAUAGACAAUUUAGCCUAAUACAGUAAAGAGAGUUUCGCCUGUCUAUCAACACUUCCGAGACUAAAGAUGUAGUCUUCUCUAAGAGAAAAAGCCAGGCAACCCUGUCAAUAAAAGGCAAUAAGAUCAAACAAGUUUCCUCCUUGAAAUACUCUGGCAUUUUGCUGGAUCAGCAGAGUGAUUUGCCAAACAAAGAUAAAAUUUAGAAUAGAAAACGCAGGAGACAAUUUAUUAGCAUGAAACAACUCUUUAUAAGAACGGAUCGUAGUCUGCAAUUGAGAAUGCAAAUAUUUUGCUGCUCAUUUUUCUCUAUGGAUGCAGAAGCUGGACCCUUGACCAAAAUCUAGAGAAAAGAAUUCUUAUGAAAUGUAUCAAUAUCACCAUACUUUAUGCAUACCUUGGGUGUUAAAAAUUUAAAAUGACUAAGUUCUUCAUUGGAUGAAGAAGUAGAAAGACCUGAUGCUCACAAUAAAGCAAAGGAAAACUCAAUAUCUAGGCUACAUUAGGAGAUAUAAACGCUCAAUUUGUUUAUAGAUAACUAACUUGAUAUAAUUAAUGUAACAAAUUAUGUACUGGAGUUAUAGUUCUGGAAGACGUACGAGUGAAGCCUACAUUUUAUUUAUUUUAUGGUUUAAGGAGGUAAAACAGUUUGGAAGUAUUGAUUAGUCAUUCAUGUCUUCUAUGGAAUUUAUAAAUUUUGAUAUUUCAAAUUUAGUGCUGUUAUCUUCUUCUUUUCCUUACUAGUUUUGUUUUAUGAAAGUUUUAAUGUCGAUGGUUGUCAAAAUAAUUUGGUUGUUUGUUUUAGAAUGUUUGAAGGAUUCGAGUUUUUUAGUAAAGAUCUCUGAAGUGAAUAGACAUGUAUUCUGGUCGAACCAUUAAUUUCAACAGUAAUAUUAUAAAUUGAUCCGGGACAACAGCGGAGUUCGUUGUUUAGCUGACGACGACGAGUAGAUAGAAACUUCUGCACUUUUAGUGACGGAAUUUGGGAAAUUUCCGAACUUCUGGAAAACCAUACAACCACGUCGGUCGUUUCGUUCGUUAGGGAUUAUGUACUAGAAAGACAUUUAAAGUCUUCGGAAGAGCUCCAGAAGAAACCAUCAGGCAUGCCUACUGUUGGCGAUGCUGACGCCGUGACGACAUUACGCUGUCUACAGAUGUGACUGCAGUUUCUUCAGUGAACAGACUGUUGGUGAGGUCCAUCCGUUUCUGAUUUGACCACUUUCCAGAGCCAGAAGGACGUCCAGUCGCGGAAGAACGAGACAACGAAUUCGCCGUAGCUUUGAACCCUCUUUUCAGUUCGAAUCCAGUGUCUACCCAAAUCCAGGAAAAAUCCAGGAGUCCUAGUUUAUCACUCAUGCUCUCCAAGACACUAGUUUAGUCGGUAAACUGCUGACGUGAUUUAGACAAUACUAAACCCACAAAACAUAUGUGUAAAUACUAUUAUUUAGGAAAGGCUUUACUCUUACGUACUAAAGGAAGUUAUGACUCUCACAGUAAUAUGAAAUAAUAAUGGAAAUAUAAAUUAAUAGUUUCAACUAUAUGGUGAUUACUGUGAUGAGUAAACGACUGGUUUGGUCAAUUUUUGCAUUGAGGCUUGUGUUGUUCUGCUCCAUGGCAGCAUUGGUCUGUUCUAACCCAGCUCUCAACUCAGCUGUGAUAUUGGUGUUAUUCUGUUCCAGCUUCUCUGUUAGGGUAGUGUUGCUCUGCAGCAAUGCCUGCAUCAAUGUAUCAAGUGUCACUGGUGGUGUGGUAGGAGUGCUGUCCUGGGGUGCAGCUGUGUGAAGGACAGUGUCAUUCAUGUCUGGUUGCUGCCUGACUAGUGAAGGCAUGGGCCGCCCUCUCCCCUCAUAUGUGCCUACAGGAGAAUUCCCUGCAGAUGAUGUAGGCUGUGAUUCACUGCCUGAACCUUGGGCAGUUGCAUACUCCUCACCUACACUUAGUGAUCUGUUCCUUAGAAAGUAUGAAUUUUGAUCGCUGGCCAUGGUGGCGUGUAAUGAAGUAAUUGACACAAAUAAUUGAUUAUACAAUUAGUGCACUUGCACACAAGACUGUUAUUUGUAGAGUAUUUACACACUAAAAUGUUGAGGUGUCCCUUUUUAACCUCAAUAUUCGGCCCCACCGUAUGGGCUCCAAAUAGUUCUGAGGGAAAACUCUUGUGUAUAGGCCUUCAAAUAGAUCUGUGCAGAAAUUCUUCCUACUUGUGUUUUGAAGGAAAUGGCACCACUUAGGUAGCCAAUUAGUUAUGUGCGGCUGCUUCUCACACACACACUCUAUAUACACUUGUGUGAAUGGCCCCACCUCUAUGAAGAUAAACAUGCAUAACACGUUGGGCUGUGUUAGACUGUGUAGAAAUAUCAAUAUUAUUUAUGUGGCUCUCCAAUGGUAUGUGAUGAUGUUCUGUAGGCCACAGUUAGGUAUUAAUUGAAUAGAGGUACAAAUAUACAUGGACAUCCACUAGGGCAAAUGAAAUUAUAAAUGACAUAACACAACACUCAUAAAUAUAAUAUAUAAUUAUUUUAUUGAAACAAAAAAGAAAUGGUUUAAAAUUUACCCUUACUAAUAGUAUUUAUUUAAUUACUUACUAUAUUCAAAACCUAACUGGUACUUGGCAUCAUAGAUCACACAUGGAUUCCAAUCAUCAGGAGUUAUGAUGCGCACAUUUAAUACAUAAACAAAAGUCUUUAUUUGGGUUCGUCGCAAAUACACAGUUUUAUUAUAUUAUUCGUUUUUAGGGAUCUUAAUUAAUUUUCCUCGGCUAGUAAGGUUCGAAAUAUCGUCGGUAGAGCUCAGAGUCUCUCAAUCUGUAGGACCUCUGAGUUGAUGUAAUAGUGUGUAAAACAGUUAAAUUCGUAUCAAAAUAUCGUUUAUAUUGUAGAUAAUGUCAUAUUACUGCAAAAUAUCAAUGUUUACAUUUGUUUUUGGCGGCGAUGUGACGGAAAACGGGAGUUACAUGACGAUGUGCAUAAGUGGAGGAAACAAAUUUUUGGCACAUUUAAUUACUCACGUUUUACACUCCUAUGUCAUUUAUCUUUUUAGAUAAAUCCUAAAUAAUGUUCUAGACUCCCUGGAUUACAUUAUUAAUCAUCCUCGUUCUGGGAUGCCUACCGCUUAUUAGCUAAAUUGUAGGAUUUAUUACCGUCGACGUCAUGAGCUACAGCUUUCUUAGCUGGCCAUCAUAGAACUCUCUUUCCUACUAGCUUUUUAAAUUCAGCCAGUUAACUUAACUUUCAAAUGGCGGGCCGUGAUUGGCCGAAAACCAAAAUCAGUUACAUUAAAUACUUAAUAAAACGUGAAAUCCGCACGCAACAAUAGCGCGGAUUACAAAAUUUUACGUAAAAUUAAAAUCAAAAAUUAUUAAAAUAAUAAUUUACAUUACAAAAUAACGGCGUUAACUUUACCGUUUACCGUCUUAAAGUUCAUUUAGUCCUUACAGGGGUUCCAACAAUACAUAUUUCAAAUAGUCCAGAAAAGUCCAUGGAGUCACUUUUUCAUAGAUACACAUAAAUAUAAAUUACUGUUUCUGAAAAUAAAUAACAUAUUAGACAUAGAGCAAACAAAAUAAAUAAAUCGUAAAUAAUAAUAAUUAAUCUGUCAAAACAAAUAACAUGUUGCAGUACAAUGGUACUUACAGGCAUAGUUUUUUACUGUAACAAUAUGUAAAGCAAUUUCGGUUGCGGACAAUCCAUUUAUACAAAGAGCCAAGAUGUUAAACAUCAAAAAUUACAUCUCGAUCACAAAACAUACCACUCAGUCACACUCUUCUUGAUAGAUGUGCCUCACGACAGAGGUGUAAAAUAGCAUAGUUCGAGAUUCUCAGCCUGUACCUAAUUAUUAAGUGCACAUCAAACUCGGCACAUAGACAGAUUUACUUGGAAACAAUAAAAUAAUAAUUCAGAAUCUAAAUUACAAAACAUUUCACAGUAUUAACUUCCGUGACAUAGCGUUAGCCUAAUAAACACUCUCCGAGGACCGGCUCGGCUCGCCGGGCGCGGAGAUGCACGACACAGGGCAUAGCACUCUAACGCGCAUUAUCUGUUUUGUAAAAUGACUGGCAGAAGAUAGAAACAAAAAUAAUAUACAGAAUGAAGCACCUAGUGAAAAACAUUUUUUUUUAAUAUAAACACUAAUUUUUAUUUUCUUAUGAAUAAAGUACGAUUUUUAGAAGUUGAAUAAUGCUCUUAAGUUCGAUGAAAUCAUUAUAUUAUUUUCAGCGAGAGCAUUUUGAAUUAUUAGGCAGCGCAAAGAGACACUAUAUAUUUUUAUGCAACUUCGUCAUAUUUUUUGAAUAGCCUACUAUGUCACAAUAAGUGAAAAAAAUAAUGGAAAUAAGAAUGCAAUUCUACAAUAUUAUAAGGGUUAUAUCUUUUAUGAGAAUAUUUUAAGAAAAAAAUAUUAACUAAAUAUUUUUGACAAAUACUAUUUUUUUUUGUGAAGACGCAUCGUAGAUGGAAAAGAAAGGUCCAUUUACAGUUUAAAAAUUUUCAUUAUAAAAUUUUAAGUUUUCCGUACCAUGAAACAAUUAGGGUCGGCUUUACAUUAUAUAUCAGCAUACAGUAUGUGCGAAAGAUUUAUCCUUGGAUCGUCUUUCAUCAGAUACACAUUCAUAAAAUAAUUUCAUUUCUAGUGAUGCAUUUUAAUUGCACGUUUCCUUUGAAUAAGCACAGCAAGUUUAAAAAGGAAUGUUGCCUCAAAUUUACAUAUAUACGUAUUACAAUAAUUUAAGAAACGAUUGUUUCGUCAAUAGGCCCUACACGUGUCAUUAUUACAUUACAGGAAAGAUUCACAACAAAUGCUGAUAAUCCUUUGAUUGUUUAAUAUUAGUUAUAUAGAAUACGUUAUACGUAAAACAUGUAAAAACGACAGUGUUUGUGAAUAUUGUAAAUAGAAUAAACCUGAUAUACGACAACGGGCCGGUUUUAUUAAAGCUUUAAAAUUGUUAUUAUAUGAAUAUCAAUGUUAAAGAAGGUAAGAUAAAAAAAUCAAUUUUAAAAUUUGAAAUAUUUGCUAAAUAUUUUCAUUGCAGGGUUUUAGGUGGUAAAUGUUUUUUGUAUAAUUCCAAAGCAAAAUUUAGGAUUGCAGUUAGCGUAGCAUCGGUAAGCAACACAUAGUUCAUAGUCAGCAGUCCGGAAUCGCCAGUCAAAAUUACAUAACAUGACCGAGGGAGUAUUUGAUUAAACCACAUCAUUGCUAAAGAUUUUCUGAUAGGUGAAAAUAUUUUGGCAGCUGGCGGUCUGGCAGUCCGAAAUGAAGUUCGAUGAUAUCCCACUGCUCGACUGGCGACUGCUGGACUGCUGACUGUGGAACAGUUUAUCUCCGACUGCUGCCUGUCGCAUGCCAGUUGUCAAACUGCGGACUGCGCAUUGUAAAUAAGGUCCUAGACCAGGUGGCGAGCAACCGGGAAAACCGGGAAAAGUCAGGAAAUUUUUGUGGUUUUUGUGAUGCCUGGAAAAGUCAGGGAAUAAUAUUAAAAAACGUAAAUCCAUAACUUACUAAACAGACGUUUCUACUAUUCUGCAGUGGUGUAGUAAGACGUACUAAUUUCUUGGUAUACGUACGAGUUUUAUGUUCCAUAUUUAUUUUUACCAAGAUAAUUUUGUUGUGUAAAGGUGCCACGGCGUACCAGUGUUUCGUCCCAAAUAAAUGGUUUUUCUGGCACGUACUACGAUUUACUUCCAAGCAUCCACUGCCAGUGUUGCCAGACCAGUGGUUUCCUUUGUGGAUGUGGUGUGAUGUUGUUUUAGUUCCCACUGUGAUAAAAGCCACUCAGCUGGUGGUUUAUCUUGUCUGCUGUUUGUUAAAUUCUAUAACGUUUUUUUAAUGAAUUUAAGUUAGUCUACUGUAGUGUUCCAAGCUGUUUUGGAGGCGAAUGUAGUUACAUAAUGAGAAUGUGAGAUAUGAAUGUGCGGGUGGACCUGGCAACACUGGGUUCACUGCUCAUUUGUCUUUGUCCGUUCUUGCUGUGCGUGCGCCACUUUGGGCUGUGUUUGUUUUACGUUGUUUAGUAUUAUAUGUUGCGGUAAAAUUUUCCUCGGCUUAUGCAAGUGUAUCAAUCAAGAGAAAUUCAUAGACUUAUAUUUUAUUACAUCUAUGGCACCGCCUAAAGGACGAACAUGGCGUAAACUUUUCUGCUGUGUACUGUGUAGUGAUAAUUGUGUCAUUUGUGUGAUCAGAAAUUACGGUAAAGCGUGACCUGUGUUUUAGAAAAUUGUCUAGAAUAUAAAAAAUGUCUUGACAGUGGGCGUUUCCUGUGUGUUUCAUUUCUACGGCUCCAGUGAUCUAAAAAAAAAUAAUGGCAGGUAGAAAAAAACUUUAUUUAGGUCGGAUUGGUUAGCCGAUACUACCUUAAAAUGGAUCGCUAGAGUUCCAAAAGACAAUAAUUUAGCAAGGUGCAGUUGGUGUAAUAUUAAUUUUUCUUUAAGCAACAUGGGCUGCCGUGCUGUUACAAGUCACAUGGAAGGAAAAAAACACUUGAAGUGGGAAAGUUUAAACUGUGUGAAGGUUAAUGCUUUUUUCAAGUCUGUACCUUGUGAAACUAAAGCUGUGUCGUUACUUCCAUCAACAUCUUCAGUCUCGGAGUAUUCAGCUGGUGGGGAAAUAGCAUAUGUACAAACAUCUGUGAAGGAAAAGCAGCCAUCUGGACCUCAGUGUUUGAGCCAGUCUGUGGUAAAAUAUCCAGUGUAAUUCAACCAUUUAUGCUAAAUGAUGAAGUCACGGAAGCUGAAAUAUUGAGGUGUAUUCAGUGUGUGAUGACACACAGAUCUUUGUGUGCAGCUGGGCGUGAUGUACUUCUUUUUCGUACAAUGUUUCCAGAUAGUACCAUAGCAAGGAAACUUCAGUUUCAGAGAGAUAAGGUAGGUUAUUAUAUCACAUUUGGUCUAGCACCAUAUUUCAGGGAUGAAAUUAGAAAAAUAGGUUUUGAUGAAUCUCUAAACAAAGUUUCGCAAAAGCAACAGAUGGACAUAACUGUUCAAUUUAGGGAAUUAGAGUGUGAUGGUGUAGUGACCAGGUAUUACACAUCUGUUUUCUUAGGCCAAUCAACUGCAUUUCACUUACUAAAUGCUUUCAAAUGUGGUAUCAAGAGUCUUUCUCUCCAUGACAUUGUUCAGAUUUCCAUGAACAGGCUCAAUGUCAACUGGAAGUUCUUGCGAGAACUCAAAAAUGACAUUAAAUCUAAUUGUGAAGAGCAUGCCCCAGAAAUAUUAGAACUAGGCAGUUGUGGUUAAACUGUGCAUUCAAGGCAGGUAUAGUUAGUACAGACUGGAAAAUAAUAGAAUUUCUUCGAGCUUUGUAUAAUCUUUUCAAAGACGUGCCUGCCAGAUGAGCUUUGUAUACUUCAGUCACAUCAUCAGAAGUAUUUCCCAAAAAGUUUUGUGCCAUCAGAUGGGUGGAAAAUAGUUCAGUAGCACAUCGAGCUCUUGAAAUCCUUCCCAACAACAUAAUGUUUGUGAAAGAGAUGCAGAAAGACAAGAAACUUUUGCCACUUUGCAAUAGCUUCAGAAUUGUAGCAGAUAUAACGAAAGAUCCAUUGUUACGUGUAAAACUUACAUUUUUUAAAUCUUUGGCAUCUGAUGUAGAACCCUUCCUGACAGAAUUUCAGGCUGAUGUGCCAUUGGUACUAUUUCUUCAUUCUUUAUCUACCAUGAUUCAUGAACAAAUGGAGCACAUUGUUAUGAGUGAGAUACUGAAAAGUUCUCCUAUUGUGCAUAAAAUUGAUUUGAGUAAAGUGGCAAAUUUGCAUACUGCUAAAUCUAUGUCUCUUCCAUUUAGCGUACUCUGUGAACUAAAAAAAGUGAACUGCUUCAGAGCUUGAUGUUUUGAGAUUCCGUGAGUGUUGUAGGCAGUGCAUAUGCAAGUUUGUAACUAAGCUUGUAGAACGUUCGCCAUUAACAUACAAGCUUACAAGAGCUGUGUCAUGUUUUGACCCAAACAUUGCAUCUAAUGUAGAGCUGGGAAGCAAGAGAUUGGCAUUACUUCUUACUGUGCUGACUGACAAUAAAUGAGUGGACAUAUCUGUGGCAGACAAAGCUUUGCGUGAGUAUAAGAGCACAUGCUCGCAGCCAAAUGUUCAGGAUAGCUUAAAAAAAUAUUCACGGAAAUCUCUACCUGUUGACCAUUUCUGGAGAAACCUUUUUAAAGAUGCACCGAGACUGACAAAGUUGCACAAGUGAUGAAACUUGUAAUGAUCAUCUCGCAGGGCAAUGCAAACCUUGAAAGAGGAUUCUCUAAACUCUGAGAGUUUGUUGCCAAACAUGAAAGAAGAAAGUUUAGUGGCCAGAAGGUGUGUGUAUGAUGCAGUAACUUGUUCAGGUGGUAUAGAAAAACUUAACAUUAGCAAAAAACUUAUUCACUCUGUUAGUAAUGCAUAGUCAAGAUUCAGAGAAGCAAUUGCAUUGAAAAAGGAGGAGGAAGCAGGAAAGAAAGAAGAAGCAGCUAGGAAAAGAAAAUCUGAAAUGAUAAUACAAGAGCUGAAAGAGAAAAAGUCCAAAAUCAUUGAAGAUGCACACAGGCAGUCGCAACUGAUUGACGAAGAAAUUAAAACAAUGAAGUUAUUAAUAUUACUGUGGCAAUCAAAACUUUUAAAAUUCAGAAAUUUUAAGUUAUUUAUAGUGAAAAAAUUUUAUUUUGUGGAUUUGUGACACUUUGAAAAUUGCAUUUUACAAGUGAACAAUGGAUUGUUAUCAGUGAAAAAAAAAUUUUGUGUGUUAAAUGUUUAAGACUGCUUUUUAAAUAAUCAAGAUAUCAUGAUAUGAGUGUGCAACAUGAAGCUGUUGGUAGGUAAGCAGUGUUCAUAUUCACAUAAAAUGUUUGUAGAGAUUGUAACCUUGUUAUUUUUUUGCUUUUCUGUAUAGCCAGGGAAAAGCAGUAGCUUACCUGGAGAAGUCAGGGAAAAGUCAGGGAAAUUUUUGUAGAGGUUUUGCUAGCCACCCUGUAGACGCUGAAACGUCCGGCGUCGCCUCUUCGUAAGCAAAAGAAACUAAAAAUUGAACAUUUAUAUCCAAAUGGUUUUAUUCUGCAGGCUAUAAUGACAAAAAUUUACUCAGGCAUGCAGUCCGACUGCCGGGCUCGGGUGCUUGAUGAGAAUGUAACGUGAGACGAGUAGAACGGCAUAUGCACAGACGAUAACUUUUUUCCGCAAUGCGUAUCACGCCAGGGCAAAGAGUGGUUUAAGUGACACGAGAUAUUAGUAUAAACACAGCGUUGUUUUUUUUUCUUAUUUUAGCGGUGGCUACACAUUACACGUCUCUCAGUAACCUGUUUAAUUCAUCAAGAUUUUACAAGUAGCAGCGGCGAUAAUGCAAUAUGAUACUUUUUUUGAACCGCUCUCACGGAGUUCCGUUUGUCAACUGUGAGUCUGAGCUUAGCGAGAUUGACACGUGAACGUCUCUGAACGCAUACACUUCCAACUUCCAGAACCGCACGUAUGUUGCUAAACUCCGACGUUUAUGGUUUGAAUCACCGGAAAAAACAUAGAAGUGUGUACUAAUCGUACGCCCAAUAAUAACAUGCAACAAAUGCUAUUUAUGACUUUAUUAUUCUUGUUUGCUGUAUGUUUUCAAAUGUGUAGAGGAUUGAUGUUCCCACUACAAACUAUCACAGUCAGCCAUGGACAGCUGGCAAAAUACUAUUUGUUUUAUUUGUGACAAUAAUGACAAGCUUCUAUGUCCAAAUUAAACUUACACUGUCUCAAAUACUGCAACAUUUAUGCAUGUUUGCACACACCGAACAGUUUGUAGCUAAUUUCUUUGGGCACCAAAUUCUGCUUACCAAAUAAGAACCCCCUCCCCCCCCCCCCCCCCAAAGGCUCUUCUUAUUCUUACGUUUAUUCACCAUUGCCGUUAAAAAUAUACUUUUUUUUUAAUGUUACGUGAAAUUCUUUAUUUCAACUUGACGUUUUUAAAAUGGUUAAAUGCAUAUUUUGGUUAAAAGUGUUAAUUGCAUAUAAAUUUAUACCAUUAAAAAUAUUAAUGGCCACAUGUAAAAUAAAAUUAAUAAAUACGUAACUAACAAAGCCAUAUAAAAUCGAUUUGAAUAUAUCACUUGUAUAAUGAUUUAUUACUUAUUCCCAACGAUUUUGCGUUUACUUCCUUUAAUGGUUUUGUUCUUCUUCCGAGGUGCAUUCUGUCGUAACCUUGCCUUAUGACUCCGCCUGCAGUUACGCUGAAUUCCCAUGCCGUUCGGCCGCUACACAACUGUGGAAUACACGUGUACUCAGCCCGGUCUGGUGUCCACGAUUUUUUUUUCCUAACCUAACUAAAAACUAAGUGUUUGGGAGGGGUCCGGGUUAGAAAGGGACCUAAGUGCGUCUCAGGCUGAAGCCUAUCACGCCUUAGUCAUGCUGGGAUUAGCCAUGCAGGAAGAGGGUCGCAUGCAUCAUGUGCUAGGAGGGGAUUGGCCAGCCAUGGCAGCGAUUGUUGCCAUGACUAACUCUACUCACUCUUAUCUGUAGUCUAAACUACUAGUUAAGUUGGGCACAGGGAAAACCUGCAUAGACACAGGGAAAACCCUGGGCACUGUCAUGCGGGAUGCAAGUUUGCAUGCAUUAAAUGUAGGAAGUACAGGAGACAGAGGAUGGUCUGGAUGAAGAGUUGGUCAGAGUAGAAAGAGAGUACAAUGCGGGGGUUGGGAACUUGGACUCAGAGUGCGCUUUGUGUUCUUCUCCGGGACUGGAAUUAAUGGCCCGGGACGCGAGCGCUCCUGGCGGUGAGUGUAAACACAAACCACUCACAUCCGCUCCAGACAGCUGCACCUAUAACUAAAAGAAAGAAAA